rnacentral:rRNA from 1 species
GCUUGUCUCAAAGAUUAAGCCAUGCAUGUCUAAGUAUAAACUUCUUUAUACCGUGAAACUGCGUACAGCUCAUUAUAUCAGUAAUGAUUUAUUUGAUGGUAUGUUCCUACAUGGAUAUCUGUAGUAAUUCUAGAGCUAAUACAUGCGUACAGUCCCAACCUCACGGAAGGGAUGUAUUUAUUAGAUGGAAACCAAUGCGGGGCAACCCGGAAUAUGGUGAUUCAUAAUAACUUUCGGAUCGUUUACGAUGCAUCAUUCAAGUUUCUGCCCUAUCAGCUUUGGAUGGUAGGGUAUUGGCCUACCAUGGCUUUAACGGGUAACGGAGAAUUAGGGUUCGAUUCCGGAGAGGGAGCCUGAGAAACGGCUACCACAUCCAAGGAAGGCAGCAGG